rnacentral:rRNA from 1 species
GAUUUCUGGCUUGAAGCAUUUUGCCGGCCACGGUUUCGUGUGUUAGUGCUUGAUGUUCUGGCCAUCCUUCCAAUCGCUAUUUGCUUCUCUUCAUUGAUUAGCAAGUGGUAUUGGAUCUUUUACUUUGAAAAAAUUAGAGUGUUUCAAGCAGGCUAUUGCUAUGAAUACAUUAGCAUGGAAUAAUAAUUUAGGACUUCGGUUCUAUUCGCUGAAGACUAACUUAUGCGAAAGCAUUCACCAAGGAUGUCUUCU